CUUGGAAACAUCUUCAGCUUCAGCCCAUGGAGUUACUGCAGGUGACAAGGCACGAUGGGCUGGGCUGGGCGAGACCUGGAUGCUGCAGGGAUCUGCUCUGGCCCUGGUGCCCCUGCACAGGAGUAAGCAGGGAGCGGCAGCAGACUACUAGCAAAAGGGACCCUG